GACGAACGCUGGCGGCGUGCCUAAUACAUGCAAGUAGAACGCACAGUUUAUACCGUAGCUUGCUACACCAUAGACUGUGAGUUGCGAACGGGUGAGUAACGCGUAGGUAACCUGCCUGGUAGCGGGGGAUAACUAUUGGAAACGAUAGCUAAUACCGCAUAAUAUUGAUUAUUGCAUGAUAAUUAAUUUAACGGUGCAAUUGCACCACUACCAGAUGGACCUGCGUUGUAUUAGCUAGUAGGUGAGGUAACGGCUCACCUAGGCGACGAUACAUAGCCGACCUGAGAGGGUGAUCGGCCACACUGGGACUGAGACACGGCCCAGACUCCUACGGGAGGCAGCAGUAGGGAAUCUUCGGCAAUGGACGAAAGUCUGACCGAGCAACGCCGCGUGAGUGAAGAAGGUUUUCGGAUCGUAAAGCUCUGUUGUAAGAGAAGAACGGGUGUGAGAGUGGAAAGUUCACACUGUGACGGUAUCUUACCAGAAAGGGACGGCUAACUACGUG
rnacentral:rRNA from 1 species